rnacentral:misc_RNA from 1 species
AUUUCUUCAGCAAAACAAAAGGAAAUAUCUCUGACAAACAUCCAUAGACUUUUCGAAUGUGUCAACUGUUUUUGUACUCACAUUUUCAUCACCGUGCUAAGGAACCAUACAAAGUAGUUAAACUGUGAGCUUUAUGGUGGAAAGAUUAAAAGGAUUUGCUUGAUACAUCAAGGUACCAUGCAGAACAGUUAGCCUCUUGGCAGACUGCAUUUAUUUAAUGAUAUUUUAAGGGGGA